rnacentral:rRNA from 1 species
UACGGGGGGGCGAAGCGUUGUUCGGUAAUUACUGGGCGUAAAGGGUUCGUAGGUGGCCCAACUAAGUCAGACGUGAAAUCCCUCGAGCUUAAACCUGGGGAACUGCGUCUGAUACUGAAUUGGUCUUGAGUGCAGGAGAGGAACGCGGAAUUCCAGGUGUAGCGGUGAAAUGCGUAGAUAUCUGGAGGAACACCGGUGGCGAAGGACGGCGUUCUGGACUGCAACUGACACUGAGGAACGAAAGCCAGGGAGGCAAACGGG